GUGGAGAGGAGAAAAAACAACAACAACAACAACAAAAAAAACAAGCACAAGCACCUGCUCACAAAGUGCAACGCCAGUCCGUCCAUCGCCAACACACAUCCCCAUGACAACCAGAGGCCAAUGAGAGGACCGUUACAGCUUGGGUCGUACGAGCUUCCAAAUGCACCGGAUAAAUAACCUGAGCCGAAAGUGAAGGAUCUGCCAUUAGCCAGAAUACGGCGUGAUACGUUACAGCCUCGUAGAUUAGGACUCAUGCGAAAAGAAACGUAUCUGAAUGACGAGCCGAAUCUUUUCCGUUAGUCAUGACUCAACUGAAAAGAACCCAGAUCUGAUCCUGUUCUCUCGUUCUUUCAUACACAGCGGUGGAUAAAUAAUAAUCUCUCUACCAAUGAAAGCGGCGACACAAAAAGAACAUUAUCCACGUGAACUCUUGUGUUUCUUAAGCUUAAUCUUAAUCGGAUCGUGACAACAAUCCUUCCAAUCUACCAGGCGUGAUUCAUCAUUAAAAGCUAAAUCUGAGCUUCACAAACUAAACAGAGCCUAGAUCUCAUCCUCUUGUACUUUCACAUCCAGCACAGGACAGCAUCAGGAUUCCUCCCCUGCCUCCGUCCCCCUCGGGGCCAGCACUGCUUUAAUUUAUUACCGACUGGCAUGAGGCCAGGCAAACAUGCAGAUCUGGCAUGCUGGCAGAGGGCUGCCACUCACCCCCUCAGCGCUCUCUCUCUGACACACACACACACUCCUGACAGAGCGUUUUGUCAGGGGGGUGAGGGUGAGGGGUAUGUGUGUGUGUGUGUGUGUGCUGUCAGUGGCACAAGGAGCCAGCGGUGGGUUUCUGCGAGAACUCUGCCCAGCUCACGGCAGCCGGUGUUACGGCUACUUAUAGCUGAGCAAUAAAUCAAGCUGUCAGUCUCGGUCAUGCCCGGCCUGUUUCACUGUUCCACGCUCCUCUAGCGCUCAACUUCCUGCCUCAAAAAAAAGCGUGACACAGCAUGUCCUGAGUGGACAUCUCCAGAGGAAAAAAAAAAAGUAAAAAAAAAAAAUUUUUGGGCUUAAAAGGACAAUGUAUGACGUAAUGACGACGUGUGUAUUUGGGGAAGACAAUGACUUUUCCAUCGUCCCUGCCAAGUCAAGUCUGUUUUUCACUUUCUUUUUCUUUCUUUCUUUUUUUUAAAUGUAGAUUGUAGUUUCUUGUUAACUCUAUUAAAAAGAAGACGAGUGGGAAAUAGCACACAGUUAUCAAGCUAAUUCAUGUAGCAUUACCGUAGCUGGCUCCGAUAGCGCCAUUCAUUUUCUUAGCAGAUAUUCAUGAUGUGUCGCUCUGUCAGUUAUUUAACACCGAGUAUCUGUGACGACACACAACAAUGUCGUCCGGGUAGCUACAGCUAGCUAUAAUCUUCCUCUGGAUUGAAAAAGAAAAAAAAAAAAACAACCCCAAAACAAAACAAGGGAAAGAUUAAUGCUGCAGCCGAGCUAAAGGCAUUCUGUUAGUGAUACGUAGCAACGCUAGCUUCUCGUUUAACAUACAGUACGUAGGCUACUGUAUGAAUUAAAUCACCCAUAAAUCAUAGUGAUAGUGAUGAAGAAAUAUUGAAAUUUUCUCCACCAACAUCCCUGAGCAGCAGGGGUCGACUUUCUAUUUGUAGGUUUUUGUUUUAUAGUGAUUUCAUUUUUAUUCGAUGCUGUUUCGAAUGAUUCUGCUUUCAAUCUCUUGAAUGUGCUGUCACACACCGAUCAUCACUCAUUGAUUCCGGUUUGUCCCAUUCAAGUUUUUGUUAUGUUUUCCUACUUCUGCUUAAAAAAAAAUGUUUUUAGCUAGUUGGCUACCUUUACCGACGGUUUAACAAAGCGUAGCUUUUAUCAUUAGUGACUUAGCAUGGUGCUAACUCUUUCACUUGAACUACAAGAUUCUACAGAUUUGCAUCCGAUUGGAGAUGACUGUGUAAAGUUGGUGUAUAAUUUGCUAUGAAGUGAAAGUCUGUCAGAGUUACAAAUGAUGACUAGAUAUUUAAAGACCGUCACGACAAACUUUGAUGCUGGCUUGACAAAACCGGUCUGAAACUUUAAAAUAUUGAUCAGUGGGAAAUCUGAAGCUAAUGUCCAGCCAGGCUCCUUCCGUCAAUGUAAGUGAAUGGGAGUUCUUGGGACAUAUAAUCGUCCGCUACAGGAAAACUGAGUCCCCGAUCAGGUAGACAGAAUAGAGCAUGAACAGCCUGAAGGACGGUGCCGAGUUCGGUGGAAGUAGCUUGAAAGCUCAAGGAAUUAUAACAGUCAGAAAAAUUGAAUGUAAGUCAAUGGGAAUUUUGGCCACUUGGAGCUUCCAUAACGGGAAUUCUGUAACUCCGAUCACUUAGAAAAGUCGUAGAAACUCGGGUCAGAACAGACUCAAGUUUCGUGUUUGGUGCAUGUAGCUUGAAAGCUCUGGGACGAAUACCACUUAAAAUUUUGGGGUCUCAGAAUGAAUAAUAAUAAUAAUAAUAAGCAGCUUAUAAAGCAGAACAGUAUGUUCAUAAACACCAAAUGUUUACAGUAAGUGAUUUGCAUAAUGAAUUGCAGGCAUACUCUUAGUAUAAAAUGAUCAAAAACAGCCUUUUAUUAAAUAUUUGCUACUGAAUUUUAAUUGUAUGGUGCUUUACCCUUCACCCUUUCCCUGAAAAACAAGAAAAAUUGAAGCCUACUCCUGAUAUGGGAGAAUGUGGUGUACCUACCGUUAUCAGGCGAAGAGGCAGCCGAUGUACAGAAUAAUAAUAGUAAUACGUUCCUCAGCUCAAGGUCACUUUAUAAAACCAAUCAAAAAUACUGCGAAGAACAAAAGUCACAAGAGCACAAAAGUAAACCAGAAGAAAAAAAUCCCCCACAACCUGAGGCCUUAAAAGGAAUGACAAUUUUAUCUAACAAUUUGUUGUUGUUGUUUUGUUUUUUUUUUAAACAGAGCGAUAGCGUUUUCACAUACUUUGUAGAGCUUUGGCGCUCACUGGCACGUAAUAAUCGUGUGUUGAACUAAUUUUUUUGCAGUUAUUAGGUGCCUGGGGAGCAAAUCCAAAAUGAAGUGUGUGAAGUGUUGUGCUCCGUUAUUGUAUUAUAUAAUCAGACCCUGGAUCCAUAUAGCGCUAAAAGCAAAAUACCUCGAUAGUCUGUAUGUUUUUAUAGACAAAUGACAGAUGUACCUCUUCUCUCAGACAGUAAGACGAUGACAGACCAGCAUCCCAGGAUCGGAGUUCCCAGGGUAUGCAUGUCGCAUCAGUUUAAGCACCAGCAAGCAACGGUUUUAAAAUUAAAAUUAAGCUUCAAAUUAAUUUAAGGAAUGUUUGCUUGAUGCACGUCCCAGUUGUAGUAUUCGUUUUACGGGACAUGAUAUCUAGUAUAAAUAUCACUAAUAGCUCAAAUUUUAUUGCGCAUGAUUAACAGCAUAACAUUUUGCCCCACCACUUUUGGAGUAGUUGUACCACCCCUGAUUUUAGAAGUGGAUUAACGAUGACGUGAUAAAUAUCUGGUAUGAAUCUAACAGUUCAACGACCUCACAUGCAGCCAGUUAAUUAGCAAACUCGCUGCAGGACGUGCCACGACGCAGUGAACAUUCUCUCGUGAGACAUAGUGUGGAAAACAAGAUGGCGGCCACCAGGUUCUGGACUGCUAGGUAAAACGUCCGACCUUCUCGCUUCAAAAUUUGCACCAUCUAAUCAGACGACGUGAAAGCUCUCAUGGAUUACAUCAAGCAUUACUACAACCAAUACAUUAUGAAUAAAAAUAAAUAAAUAACAGAGCUGAUGAAGUAGCCGGGUGACAGAAACAGCCAUCUCUUUAAUCGAAAUGUUAUGAAACUAAAUACUGUUAACAGUGACGACUGUAAAUCUAAAUCAUACAAGAGUCUUGAUUCGAUGUUUGUGUAUCAAACAAUACGUUCAACACAUAGCAUAAUUAACCCAUGAAAUACCGCUUAUAUUACUUGAGCUGUAAUGAACAUCGUGGGGAGGCUAUGGAUCAGGUGGUAGAGCGGGUUGUCCACUAAUCGUAGGGUUGGCGGUUUGACUCCACAUACCGAAGUGUCCUUGGGCAAGACACUGAACCCCGAGUUGCUCCCGAUGGCAAGUUAGCGCCUUGCAUGGCAGCUCUGCUACCAUUGUUGUGUGUGAGUGUGUAUGAACGUGUGAAUGAGAAACAGUGUAGAACCUCUAAGGUUAAAAAAAGUGCUCUAUAACUGCAGACCAUUUACCAUACCAUACCAAACAUCACUUCCUCUGUUUCUCUAAUCAGGAGAGGCUAUUGUCGUUCCAAAAAAAACCCCCCGAAAAAAAUCACGCCUUUCCUAAGCACACUGUUUUUCAUGAGAUGCUACUACACUAGUCAGAGCUAAUACUAUUAUUAAAUAUCUAUGCUGAUAUCAUGCAGAUGAAAGCAUGAUGCUUUAAGACAGCGCUUCCUGGCUGAAUCGUUCAGAACUGCAGAAAUGAGACUCGGUGUAGAGGAGAACGCAGGAUUCAGAAACAUGUUCGAGGUACAGAGAGCUGCGUGACUUCAGACACGCCCCCUUGACUUGAGAGUCACACUAGCAGCCAGGGUCGCAUUUUAUUUGUUUUUUGGAGGCUAUCAAAGACUGUGGGGGAAGAAAAAAAAAAAAAAAAAAAAAAAA
ensembl:lncRNA